rnacentral:lncRNA from 1 species
UCACCAUAGAAACUUAAAUCAUUUCCUCAAGCUUGAGCCAUGAGAAUCGAGCUGCAGAAGGUUCAGAUUUCAGUGUUGGCCCGGUGAGGUACAGUGACAUCAGCGAGCCCAGGCUAACCCCUCUGCAGAGGAGAAGCAAGUGGAGGCCUGCAGUGGAAAUUAGCUGGUCAAGGCACCAUGCUCCCUGCUUUAUGGAAACAGCACUUCUGCAAGUGAAAUGUGAGCACAAAAAUUGA